rnacentral:sRNA from 1 species
GCUGGGUGUGGUGGCACUCACCUGUAAUCCCAGCGACUCAGGAGGCUGAGGCAGGGGGAUUGCAAGUUUGAGGCCAACCUAAGCAGUUUUGUGAGACCCUGUCUCCA